rnacentral:rRNA from 1 species
UACGAAGGGAGCUAGCGUUGUCCGGAAUCACUGGGCGUAAAGCGCACGUAGGCGGAUGUGUCAGUCAGGGGUGAAAUCCCGGAGCUCAACUUCGGAACUGCCCUUGAUACAGCACGUCUUGAGUCCGGAAGAGGUGGGUGGAAUUCCUAGUGUAGAGGUGAAAUUCGUAGAUAUUAGGAAGAACACCGGUGGCGAAGGCGGCCCACUGGUCCGGUACUGACGCUGAGGUGCGAAAGCGUGGGGAGCAAACAGG